UACAGAGGUCUCAAGCGUUUGUUCGGAUUCAUUGGGGCGUAAAGAGCUCGUAGGCGGCUUAGUAAGUCGGGUGUGAAAACCCCAGGCUCAACCUGGGGACGCCACCCGAUACUGCUAUAGCUAGAGUCCAGUAGGGGAGUGUGGAAUUCCCAGUGUAGCGGUGAAAUGCGCAGAUAUUGGGGAGGAACACCAGCGGCGAAGGCGGCACUCUGGGCUGGUACUGACGCUGAGGGAGGCGAAA
rnacentral:rRNA from 1 species